GAUGGAGAAGCAGGGCACGUGCAUUUCUAACUCAUUCGAUCGCGUAUACUGAGAUAUAUAUGUAUAUGUAUGUAUGCUUUUUAUUUAGCAGCUGGGAAUUUAUUACAAGUUUAUAUGUGUGUCUCAUAUCCAGUGAUGAGUUAGUUGUUCAUGUGCCCCUCUUCCCCAUC